UGUCACGACCCGAAUCCCGGAUCCGUGACCGGCAACGUAGGGGCGGUGUCGAAAGGACUCCUCACCUACGCUAAGCCUCAGAACAAACAUAUCAAAAGAACAAUUUGUUCAAAAAUACGCAGCGGCUCAUAAUAUUCAGAAAUAUUAUAUUAUUCAAAUACUGAUGAAACCGAAAGAUAGUUAUUAAAACAAAAAUAAUAAUUCAUAAUACUAUUUACAUUGCCAAAAUCCAACUUAAUUAAAACAAGGUAACAGUGGAGCGUCUAAGACAUCAAAUCAAACUGAAAGGAAAGCCUCGCGAACAAGCAAGGCAUACCGACAAGAACUGAAGAAGCGGAAACACUCAACAAAGUCCCAGAAACUAGGAACCUGAAAUAAUAUUAAGAAUGAGGGUGAGUUCAACCAACUCAGUGAGGGGAAUAACAUUUAAUACACAUUUCAUAUAUUUCAGAUAUUAUUUGCAAGAUGAUUUAUCUUGAUAUACAUAUACAUAUACAUAUACAUAUACAUAUACUUACUAAACAUAUUAUCAUAACGUAGCAUAUUAUCAUAACGUAGUGGAUUACAUGUCAGAGAACAGAUGACACCCGAAGGUGACCAGAUGACACCCGUCGGUGACCAGAUGACACCCGUCGGUGACCACUGUGGGAUGAUCAAUCGCCACAGGCUGAUGCCUCUCUCACCAGCUAGGUAACAGAAUACUAUGUGCACACAGGCUAACUAUUCUCCGUUAGCAUGGAGUACUGACAAGUCCCAUAUCAAGGCAUAACAGAUAUUUACAUAAUCAUCAAAGAAGCGUAUAUCAUGUCAAAUAGAAUUUACUUUAACAGAUUGCGAGUGCAAAUUCAAGAAUAAAUGAGUACUUGGAAAUAAAGCAACAUAUAUAAAUAUUCAAGAAAUUUACUAGUUGUACUCAUUGUAUAAUCAACAUACAUAUAUAUAUAUAUAUAUAUAUAUAUAUAUUUAUAUUAUAUGCAUAUUAAAGAUUAUUCCACUCACCCGGAAAAUACUGAACUAAAGGAAUGUCAGGCAAAAGACCCGAAAAUCCGAUUAAGGAUCGUUAGGAGAACCUACAAUAAAUAUAUGAAAUAUACUCAAAAACAAAUCAAACAAAAGAUACAAAUGCAUAAAAUAAACUGGGCUUAAUCUCUCGAGUUUAGGGACUAAAACGACAAUUUUCCAAAACAGGGACCAAAACGUAAUUUUACCAAAUUUGAGGACCGAAUUGUAAAUAUAUAUAUCCAUACUGAAAUUAUCCAUAAUUCGUCCUUAUCUUUGUCCAGAAUCUUGAAUUAUGCCCCAAGGUCCAAAAUGUGAUUUUAUCAAAAUAUUAGGGGUCAAAUCGUAAUUUGUCAAAUUGGAGGACCAAACUGAAAAUAUUAAUUAUACUGGAAUUUUGUCCUUAAAUCAUCCUCAGUUCUGUUCAGAAUCUCAAUUUAUGCCCCAGGGACCAAUCUGUAAAAUUUCCAAAGUUCGGGGACUAAACUGCAAUUUCCACAAAUUGAGGGACCAAACUGAAUUUUCGUCAUCUUCAACCUCAAACCCAGAAUUUCAACAGAUCACCUACUGUUAUCCCCUGAUUUCUAACACAAUUUCACCAUUUAAACAAAAUCAUAACUCAAAAUCAUUAUCCUUCAAUUCAAUCUCUCAAAAUCAACUAAUUAAUCAAAUACCCUAAUAAUCAACUCCUAACCUUCAAAUUAAUUCAUCAAUUAACUCAAAAUACAAACUUCAAAACUCUAAAUUAAUCAAAACCGAAAUUAAACAUAAUACACUUCAAACCAUAAAUCUUACCUUUUAAACUUAUUUCCUCUACUUCUCUUCCUUUUCCCCUUAUUUUCCCUUCUUUUCUCUUCUUCUUCUUCUUCCUCCCUUCUCUCUUACGUUUUGUUCUUCAAAUUUUCAGAUCCCUCUUUCUUUUUCUAUUUAUAUUUAUCAACUAUUUAUCCAAUUACCAUAAUACCCCUUAUUCAAAUUUACUCACUCUUUAAGCCUCCAAGGGCUUUAUUGUAUUUUCCAACCAAAAUAUUACAAUCUCCCCACCUUAUAAAAGUUUCGUCCUCGAAACUUAAUAGAAAAGAUUGAAUACUUACCGAGAUUAUUGAAAAGAUGAGGAUACUCCUCACGCAUCUUAUCCUCGAGCUCCCAGGUCGCUUCCUCACGUGAAUGACCUUUCCAUUUCACUUUCACUGAAGCUAUAUCCUUCGACCUAAGCUUCCUCACUUGUCGGUCAAUUAUAGCUUCCGUUGCACCUCAUAAACCAUAUCAUCUCUCAAUUCAAUAGGAUGAACCUCUAACACAUGUGAUGAAUCUGGCAUAUACUUCCUUAGCAUGGAAACAUGAAAUACCGGAUGGAUGGAGGAUAGAUUAGGUGGCAAGGCAAGCCGAUAUGCCACUACCCCUACUCUUUCCAAGAUCUCAAAGGGCCCUAUAAACCUAGGGCUCAACUUUCCUUUCUUCCCAAAUCUGAAUAUUCCUUUAGUUGGGGAGACUUUUAGGAACACGUUGUCACCCACUGAAAAUUCUAGAUUACGCCUCCUCUUAUCCGCAUAAUUCUUUUGUCUGCUCUGAGCUGUUUGAAGCUUAUCUCGAAUCACCUUAAUCUUAUCCGAAGUAAUCUGUAUUAACUCAGGACCCAUUAAUCUCCUCUCUCCAACCUCAUACCAACAAACAGGUGAUCUACACUUCCGGCCAUACAAAGCCUCAUAUGGAGCCAUAUCAAUGCUCGCUUGAUAACUAUUAUUAUAUGCAAACUCCACCAAAGACAAGUAUUUGCUCCAUCCGACACCAAAGUCAAUCACACAAGCUCUUAACAUAUCCUCCAAAAUUUGUAUAGUCCUCUCAGAUUGUCCAUCUGUUUGAGGAUGAAAAGCAGUACUUAACUGAACAUUAGUCCCCAAAGCUUCCUGAAAUUUCACCCAAAACCGAGAAGUGAACUGUGGACCUCUGUCAGACACAAUUGAGAUGGGCACACCAUGCAACCUUACAAUCUCGUUAACAUAGAUUUCUGCGAGUUUUGCAAACCCAUAUGUCACCUUUACUGGCAAGAAAUGAGCUGACUUGGUUAAACGAUCAACUAUCACCCAAACCGAAUCAUAACCCUCCUGACUUCGAGGCAAGCCUGACACAAAGUCCAUAGUGAUCCUCUCCCAUUCCAUUCAGGAACAACAAUGGUUGCAAAAGCCCUGGUGGUUUCUGAUGCUCACCUUUAACCCUCUGACAUGUCAAGCAUCGAGAUACAAACUCAGCAAUGUCCCUCUUCAUACCAUUCCACCAAUAACACUCUUUUAAGUCUCUAUACAUCUUAUUAGAACCAGGAUGUAUAGUAUAGGCAGUUUGGUGUGCUUCCAUCAUCACAUCUCUUUUCAAAUCAUCCACCUCAGGCACACACAAUCUUGAACCAAAUCUCAACACACCAUCUUCGUGGAUAACAAAACCCGGAGCUCUCUCUAACUCCAAGUCAUCUCGAAUUUUGCAAAGUUGUUCAUCCUUCAUCUGAGCUACUUUAAUCCGGUCUACCAAGUCUGACUUAGCCUGAAAGUGAGCCAACAAUGCUCCCGAUUCACAAAUCUCAAAACUGACUCUCUCAUCUAACAAUCCGUGUAACUCUUUAAUCAAGGGUCUCCUCACCUCCUGAAUAUGAGCCAAACUACCCAUAGAUUUUCGACUUAAAGCAUCAGCAACAACAUUUGCCUUGCCCGGGUGAUAUUGAAUCGUGCAAUCAUAAUCACUUAACAAUUCUAUCCAUCUUCUUUGUCUCAAAUUCAGAUCCUUCUGCUGAAAAAUAUAUUGAAGACUCUUAUGAUCUGAAAAUAUCUCACAUGUCUCCCCAUACAAGUAGUGUCUCCAAAUUUUAAGGGCAAACACUACCGCAGCCAUCUCCAAAUCAUGUGUGGGGUAAUUUUGCUCAUGCUUCUUCAACUUUCUCGAGGCAUAAGCAAUCACAUUACCAUUCUGCAUCAAAACACAACCCAAACCAAUCCUGGAUGCAUCACAGUACACGGUAAAACCACCAGACCCUGAAGGUACUGUCAAAAUUGGAGCCGUAAUUAACCUUUCCUUCAACUCUAGGAAGCUCUUCUCACAUUCUUCUGACCAUUGAAACUUGACACUUUUCUGUGUCAACUUAGUCAACGGAGCAGCAAUUCGGGAAAAAUUCUCCACGAAUCUCCUGUAGUAUCCUGCUAAACCCAGGAAACUUCUAAUCUCAGAUACCGUAACUGGUCUAGGCCACUGCUUAACUGCCUCCACUUUCUGUGGAUCAACCUCUAUUCCAUUCUUGGACACCACAUGUCCCAAAAACCCAACACUCUCUAGCCAAAACUCGCUCUUCGAGAACUUUCCAUACAACUGAUGAUCUCUUAGAGUUUGAAGCACCAAUCUCAAAUGCUCUUCGUGUUCCUCUUCACUUUUUGAAUACACCAAGAUGUCAUCAAUGAACACAAUAACAAACUUAUCAAUAAACGGUCUAAAAACCCUGUUCAUCAUGUCCAUAAAAGCCGCAGGUGCAUUUGUUAACCCAAAAGACAACACCAAGAACUCGUAAUGCCCAUAACGAGUCCUAAAGGCAGUUUUAGAAAUAUCCUCAUUUCUAAUCCUCAACUGGUGAUACCCCGAUCGUAAAUCAAUCUUUGAGAAACAUUGAGCUCCUUGUAAUUGAUCAAAAAGGUCAUCAAUGCGAGGGAGUGGGUAUCUAUUCUUAAUAGUGACCCUGUUCAACUGCCUGUAGUCUAUACACAUCCUCAUCGAUCCAUCCUUCUUCUUUACAAAUAAAACAGGUGCCCCCCAUGGAGACACACUCGGACGAAUAAAUCCCUUAUCUAACAAAUCUUGAAUCUGCUCCUUCAACUCUUUUAAUUCUGCUGGCGCCAUCCUGUACGGUGCCAUAGAGAUUGGUUUUGUUCCUGAAUCUAGAUCAAUACAGAAUUCGAUUUCCCUAUUGGGAGGUAGUCCAGGUAAGUCAUCGGGAAAAACAUCGAUGAAUUCCUUAACUAUCGAAACUUGUUCUAUCCCCAGACCUCCAUAUUCACAUCAUGCACAUAAGCCAAAAACCCUUGCAUACCCUUUCGUACCAUCCUUCUCGUGAUGGCCGAGAGAAUACUAGAUGGAGAUGAUAACCCAUCUCCAUGAAAAGCAAACUCUGUCUCCUCAUCAGGCUUGAAAACCACUGUCUUAUUCCAACAGUCAACUGAGGCAUGAUGCCUUGACAACCAGUCCAUACCUAGUAUCACAUCAAAACCUACAAUUUCUAAAAUUACCAAAUCACCUAAUAGGUUUCUACCUUGCACUUCAACUUCACAAUCAACAUAAACAUAUUCCCCAAACAUAACCUCAUCUGAAGGGGUAGCCACACAUAAAGGACUCUCUAACAAAAUGGGUUGUUUAGUAAACCUUAAAGCAAAAUAUGAUGACACAAAAGAAUGAGUAGCCCCGGUGUCAAAUAAAACUCUAGCCUCGAAGGAACAUAUCAAAAGUGUACCUGAUACAACAGUAUUGGAUGCCUGGGCAUCCUGCUGAGUAAUGGCAAAAACUCGUGCCUGUCUCUGACUUGUUGGCGCAAAACCUCUACCACCUACUCCACGACCCCGCUGGCCACGCUCACCAGCUCCACGACCACCCCGAAGUACAGAAUGACUAGCUGACUGAGUCUGAGUAGGAGAUAUAACCGAUACAGAAGCACCAGGCUUGGACCACCGCUUGUUCGGACAAUCCCUCAAUAAGUGAUCAGUCUGCCCACAACCGAAACAAGCUCCUGUCUGCCUAUAACAGACUGUGCCAUAAUGCCUAGACCCACAAGACUGACAUUGAGGCCUCCCAUAUGAACCUUG
rnacentral:lncRNA from 1 species